UACGGGGGGAGCAAGCGUUGUUCGGAUUUACUGGGCGUAAAGGGCGCGUAGGCGGCGCAACAAGUCACUUGUGAAAUCUCCGGGCUUAACCCGGAGCGGCCAAGUGAUACUGUCGUGCUAGAGUGCGGAAGGGGCUACUGGAAUUCUCGGUGUAGCGGUGAAAUGCGUAGAUAUCGGGAGGAACACCGGUGGCGAAGGCGGCCUUCUGGACGGAUACUGACGCUGAGACGCGAAAGCGUGGGGAGCAAACAGG
rnacentral:rRNA from 1 species